UGUAAAGUUUCCAACCCAAAAGUUCGAACUAGUAGGUGGAGGGACUCCCAGGAAUAUAAGGGAGGCUGUAGGAUAAUUAGUAGUUGAUGUGGGACUAAACUCCCAACAAUUUAUCAACAUUCAAAUCACCCUUG